rnacentral:piRNA from 1 species
UAAUACUGCACGGACCGAGGUUGGUAG